rnacentral:sRNA from 1 species
UUUUACCUGAGUGUGCGUUAGGGAUAGAAGCGGUAUCCUUUUUGUUUUUUCUUUAAAAACAAAAAGAUAUAGCGGAUAGCCCGGCCGGAG